AUGCCCGUCACCAGGCGGAGGAGGACCACGCCCAGCGCAUGCACGUCGCACUGCGGGGUCAGCUCCCCCGUCGCCAGGUACCGCGGCUCCACAUACGGCAGCGCCACGCCGGUCGGGAGCUGUGGCGACGCCACGAGACCAGGCAUGCCGAGGCCGGCGAGCUUGCUGGAGGAGCACCGCUCGUCCUCCAGGAGGAUAUUCUCUGGCCGGACGUCGCCAUGCACUGUUGCCGUCGAGUGGAGGUAG
rnacentral:rRNA from 1 species